rnacentral:rRNA from 1 species
GACGAACGCUGGCGGCGUGCCUAAUACAUGCAAGUAGAACGCUGAAGGAGGAGCUUGCUUCUCCGGAUGAGUUGCGAACGGGUGAGUAACGCGUAGGUAACCUGCCUUGUAGCGGGGGAUAACUAUUGGAAACGAUAGCUAAUACCGCAUAAGAGUAGAUGUUGCAUGACAUUUGCUUAAAAGGUUCAAUUGCAUCACUACCAGAUGGACCUGCGUUGUAUUAGCUAGUUGGUGAGGUAACGGCUCACCAAGGCGACGAUACAUAGCCGACCGGAGAGGGGGAGCGGCCAGCCUGGGACUGAGACACGGCCCAGACUGCUACGGGAGGCAGCAGUAGUGAAUCGUCGGCAAGGGACGGAAGUCUGACCGAGCAACGCCGCGUGAGUGAAGAAGGAUUUCGGAUCGUAAAGCUCGGUUGUAAGAGAAGAACGAGUGUGAGAGUGGAAAGUUCAGUCUGUGACGGUAACUGAUCAGAAAGGGACGGCUAACUACGUG